rnacentral:rRNA from 1 species
GUCCAGACUCCUACGGGAGGCAGCAGUGGGGGAUAUUGCACAAUGGGGGAAACCCUGAUGCAGCGACGCCGCGUGAGCGAUGAAGUAUUUCGGUAUGUAAAGCUCUAUCAGCAGGGAAGAAGAUGACGGUACCUGACUAAGAAGCCCCGGCUAACUACGUGCCAGCAGCCGCGGUAAUACGUAGGGGGCAAGCGUUAUCCGGAUUUACUGGGUGUAAAGGGAGCGUAGGCGGCGAUGCAAGCCAGAUGUGAAAGCCCGGGGCUCAACCCCGGGACUGCAUUUGGAACUGUGUGGCUGGAGUGUCGGAGAGGCAGGCGGAAUUCCUAGUGUAGCGGUGAAAUGCGUAGAUAUUAGGAGGAACACCAGUGGCAAAGGCGGCCUGCUGGACGAUGACUGACGUUGAGGCUCGAAAGCGUGGGGAGCAAACAGGAUUAGAUACCCCCGUAGG